GGUAACAGUGAUCGUAUCCAGACGAAGCAAGAUCUGGGCCGUCUAAUACCUGACACAAACGGCGCUCUGGAUUGCGUAUCCAGCUAAAGAUCUUCCGCCACUACAUACAGAAAAACUUAAGCAGAUGAGCAUAUGUGUCAAGUUCUGGCGAGGUGAGUGGAAAAAAAAUGAGGAGGAGGAGUGGCAUUUCCACCCUGAUGAGGAAGACAUCGGAAAAAGGGUCAUGAUUAAAGACGAUGAAACGUAUGCUACUUUGGAGGCAAUGGUUAGGAGACAGUACUCUCUCCGCCCCUUAACUCCUCUCGUUCUUACCUUCCGGCUCCCUAGUUGGAUGUUGUCUCCACUGGGUUACAAAACCCCACCAACAACCAUUAAUCAUACGGAAGAUCUUUGUAUCCUCUUAAACGUGAAAAUAUCUCUCUCAGAUCUGGCGUUGCUUGUGAUAGUUGGGCCAAGACGGGUUGCGGAGUAUGAGUUUCUGUGUAGAACAAGAUUCUCCAUUGGAUCAACAACUUACAUUGUUGAUGGCACCCAAACCGAAGCAAACAGAGCCGAGUACGAAAGUAAGUAACAUCGCUUAAUGUGUAUUACGAUUAAAGUUUGCAAAAAUGUAAUUGCUUUCCUAUGAAUAUUGUUUAUGGCUUGUUUUUGGGGACCGAGCUAAGGAAACUGAGAGGGUUAUGAGCGCCCUUUUUAGUGAAGAAGCGAUAAUGCUCCAGGGAUAUUAUUGUUGUCGAGGAUAAUGAUGACGUCAUGUACGACGCCAAUAAUGUCAACCUAGAGACUGGUCAAAACAGUCACGCUGUUGGAGGUAUGUCUUAAACCAAUCAUCUAGAUGGUAGUCACUCUAUUUAACAACUGGAUCUACAAAGAAUGUUGGGUCUGUGUUUGGAAAUGAGGGUGGGGGCUCGGGUACUCGAAACAGUCCACGACCGGUUGAUCAUGACAUCCGAGGCGAAUCUGGCGAGAUUGGCCCUGGAGGUGAAGGCAUGCAUACAACUUCGGGAGAACAAGGAUUCCAAGUUUCUAGGCCACGCGUCCUUCAAGUGAACCCUUCACAUCCAAGCCCCCCCCCCCAUUGUUUAUGUUCACGCAGGGUGGUCAAGCCGGGGGGCCAAGUGGAGUGAGAGAGGUCAUUAAAGACGACAAGGAUACUUCCUCUGAAGCAAGCGACAUUGAUGGUGGGUUUUGAUGACAAUCAGAACUAAGGUGUUACAGUUGGGAAAAAGAUGUUAUAUUAAUGUGAUAUAUCUACGGGGUCGUACUAUUUUGGUGUAAAAAGGGUUUAGGGUUACUGAAGCUAGGCCGAGGGUUUGUUUUUGUGGAUUUUAAAACUUUGUAUUAGCCGGCUAUGAAAUAGUAGUGGGGUUGGUUUGGUUUUUUGUGGAACAAAUAGCCGGCUAAGGAAAAGUUUGUCCUCUUGUAUGUUUGUUUAGUUGGUCAUGACAUGAAGCGUGUAACCCAAGUUAAUGUUUAAUAUUACCUAAAUUUAGAAUUA